rnacentral:rRNA from 1 species
GAUGAACGCUGGCGGCGUGCCUAAUACAUGCAAGUCGAGCGAACGGACGAGAAGCUUGCUUCUCUGAUGUUAGCGGCGGACGGGUGAGUAACACGUGGAUAACCUACCUAUAAGACUGGGAUAACUUCGGGAAACCGGAGCUAAUACCGGAUAAUAUUUUGAACCGCAUGGUUCAAAAGUGAAAGACGGUCUUGCUGUCACUUAUAGAUGGAUCCGCGCUGCAUUAGCUAGUUGGUAAGGUAACGGCUUACCAAGGCAACGAUGCAUAGCCGACCUGAGAGGGUGAUCGGCCACACUGGAACUGAGACACGGUCCAGACUCCUACGGGAGGCAGCAGUAGGGAAUCUUCCGCAAUGGGCGAAAGCCUGACGGAGCAACGCCGCGUGAGUGAUGAAGGUCUUCGGAUCGUAAAACUCUGUUAUUAGGGAAGAACAUAUGUGUAAGUAACUGUGCACAUCUUGACGGUACCUAAUCAGAAAGCCACGGCUAACUACGUGCCAGCAGCCGCGGUAAUACGUAGGUGGCAAGCGUUAUCCGGAAUUAUUGGGCGUAAAGCGCGCGUAGGCGGUUUUUUAAGUCUGAUGUGAAAGCCCACGGCUCAACCGUGGAGGGUCAUUGGAAACUGGAAAACUUGAGUGCAGAAGAGGAAAGUGGAAUUCCAUGUGUAGCGGUGAAAUGCGCAGAGAUAUGGAGGAACACCAGUGGCGAAGGCGACUUUCUGGUCUGUAACUGACGCUGAUGUGCGAAAGCGUGGGGAUCAAACAGGAUUAGAUACCCUGGUAGUCCACGCCGUAAACGAUGAGUGCUAAGUGUUAGGGGGUUUCCGCCCCUUAGUGCUGCAGCUAACGCAUUAAGCACUCCGCCUGGGGAGUACGACCGCAAGGUUGAAACUCAAAGGAAUUGACGGGGACCCGCACAAGCGGUGGAGCAUGUGGUUUAAUUCGAAGCAACGCGAAGAACCUUACCAAAUCUUGACAUCCUUUGACAACUCUAGAGAUAGAGCUUUCCCCUUCGGGGGACAAAGUGACAGGUGGUGCAUGGUUGUCGUCAGCUCGUGUCGUGAGAUGUUGGGUUAAGUCCCGCAACGAGUGCAACCCUUAAGCUUAGUUGCCAUCAUUAAGUUGGGCACUCUAAGUUGACUGCCGGUGACAAACCGGAGGAAGGUGGGGAUGACGUCAAAUCAUCAUGCCCCUUAUGAUUUGGGCUACACACGUGCUACAAUGGACAAUACAAAGGGCAGCGAAACCGCGAGGUCAAGCAAAUCCCAUAAAGUUGUUCUCAGUUCGGAUUGUAGUCUGCAACUCGACUACAUGAAGCUGGAAUCGCUAGUAAUCGUAGAUCAGCAUGCUACGGUGAAUACGUUCCCGGGUCU